rnacentral:rRNA from 1 species
AUGGCCGAUGCCAAUGACCCCGCCGCGUCCUCCUUCGCCGCUUGUCUGGCCCACCUUGCUGCAGCCGCCGUCGGCGCGACCAUGGUCCCCAAUUUGGCCUCCGCCUCCAUGCCGCCCCGGAUUUGCCCCACCUCAGCCGGUCGCCGUCACGCCGGAGCUGCGUGCGAAGAAGCAGCGGGACGCCAAGCCACGCGGUGGAGGCGUGAAGCGGCAGAUGGCGUGGGGGCGCAACCCGGUGGCGAACCAACCUUGGCCGGCCAAAAUUUCGAAGCCAGAGCGGCUGCGGUGGGCGAUUGGCUGCGGCCGUGGCUUCCUCCUCCGGCCAAAGAGGCCCUCCUCCACCUCCGCCGCCGUCCCUACGCCGUUCCCCCGAAUGGUGCCGCGCCGCCGCCGUCCCCAUUGCCGCUGCCCCGAUUCGGCCGCCGCCCACUAGUUUUUACAUCUCCAUUUUGCAUCCCUAUUGGAGUUGCAGUUUUACAUCUCCGUUUUGCAUCAUCCGUUGGAGUUGGCCCUUUGCAAAAAGCACUUCUAUUGGAGAUGCUCUUACUGUUGUGA